UACGUAGGGCGCAAGCGUUGUCCGGAAUUAUUGGGCGUAAAGAGCUCGUAGGCGGUUUGUCGCGUCGGAUGUGAAAGCCCGGGGCUUAACUCCGGGUCUGCAUUCGAUACGGGCAGACUAGAGUGUGGUAGGGGAGAUCGGAAUUCCUGGUGUAGCGGUGAAAUGCGCAGAUAUCAAGAGGAACACCUGCGGCGAAGGCGGGUUGCUGGGCCGACACUGACGCUGAAGCGCGAAAGCCAGGGGAGCGAACGGG
rnacentral:rRNA from 1 species